rnacentral:rRNA from 1 species
GCAAGUCGAGCGGAAACGAAGAGGUGCUUGCACCUCUGGCGUCGAGCGGCGGACGGGUGAGUAAUGCUUGGGAAUAUGCCUUAUGGUGGGGGACAACAGUUGGAAACGACUGCUAAUACCGCAUAAUGUCUACGGACCAAAGUGGGGGACCUUCGGGCCUCACGCCAUAAGAUUAGCCCAAGUGGGAUUAGCUAGUUGGUGAGGUAAUGGCUCACCAAGGCGACGAUCCCUAGCUGGUUUGAGAGGAUGAUCAGCCACACUGGGACUGAGACACGGCCCAGACUCCUACGGGAGGCAGCAGUGGGGAAUAUUGCACAAUGGGCGCAAGCCUGAUGCAGCCAUGCCGCGUGUGUGAAGAAGGCCUUCGGGUUGUAAAGCACUUUCAGUAAGGAGGAAAGGUUAAGUGUUAAUAGCACUUAGCUGUGACGUUACUUACAGAAGAAGCACCGGCUAACUCCGUGCCAGCAGCCGCGGUAAUACGGAGGGUGCGAGCGUUAAUCGGAAUUACUGGGCGUAAAGCGUACGCAGGCGGUUUGUUAAGCGAGAUGUGAAAGCCCCGGGCUCAACCUGGGAACUGCAUUUCGAACUGGCAAACU